rnacentral:rRNA from 1 species
GGUGAUUCAUAGUAACCGAACGGAUCGCAUUAUGGUCAUUUUGUAUGGCUGGCGAUAGAUCAUUCAAGUUUCUGACCUAUCAGCUUUCGACGGUAGUGUAUUGGACUACCGUGGCAGUGACGGGUAACGGGGAAUUAGGGUUCGAUUCCGGAGAGGGAGCCUGAGAAACGGCUACCACAUCUAAGGAAGGCAGCAGGCGCGCAAAUUACCCAAUCCUGACUCAGGGAGGUAGUGACAGGAAAUAACAACACUGGAAAUUUUAUUUCUAGUGAUUGGAAUGAUGGGAAUUUAAACCCCUUUCAGAGUAACAAUUGGAGGGCAAGUCUGGUGCCAGCAGCCGCGGUAAUUCCAGCUCCAAUAGCGUAUAUUAAAGUUGUUGCAGUUAAAAAGCUCGUAGUUGGAUGUCUGCUGGAAGCAAUCAGUCCGUCCUAUUUGUAGGGUGUGCACUUGAUGAAUUCUGGCAUCUAUGUCCCAAUGAUGCGUUAUUGUAUGAUGGCGUACGUAUAUAGGUUAAUCCUAUAUUAUACUGCCCAUCUCUAUAAUCUUAUUGGGAUAAUACCGUUACUUUGAGAAAAUUAGAGUGUUUGAAGCAGGCUAAUAAUUAUUGCCUUGAAUACUGCAGCAUGGAAUAACAAUAUAGGAUUUCGGUUCUAUUUUGUUGGUUUCUAGGACUGAAAUAAUGAUUAAUAGGGACAGUUGGGGGCAUUCGUAUUUAACUGUCAGAGGUGAAAUUCUUAGAUUUGUUAAAGACGAACUACUGCGAAAGCAUUUGCCAAAGAUGUUUUCAUUAAUCAAGAACGAAAGUUAGGGGCUCGAAGACGAUCAGAUACCGUCGUAGUCUUAACCAUAAACUAUGCCGACUAGAGAUAGGAAAAUGUCAUUUUUCUGACUUCUCCUGCACCUUAUGAGAAAUC